GAAAGAUCAGUUCCAUGAUGCCUGGGAUGGACUGAGUCUUGGGUUAGAGGCUGAGACAACCUUGGUCCUGGAGAUGGCAAUUUAUGGAGGCCUUUGAGUGAUUGCUGUAUUGCUGCUAAAGAGGGCCCAAAACUUGGAUAUUGUUUAAAGCCAAAUCAAUAUCCUCUUCAAUGUGAUCUUCAAGCGUGAAAUAGGACACGGGCUUUCACUUAUUUUAUACAAGUAGUACCGGUUUUCUAGGACUUGCUUACCUGGUGACCAAAACCAUGUACUGACAGUAUGACAGGCAGACACUAUGGAAAAUACUAUAUCCAAAAGGAAAAAUGUAUUUUGCUAAAAGGAACUCCCAAGGCAACUUUACCAUAAGGAAAGAAAGCUCUGAAGAGAAACAAAAGCAUUCAAAAAGAGACUUGGGGGCGGGGGAGGGUAAAAGGGUCAGCAAGAGAACUGGGAACAAAUGACAAUGCACUGGGCAGUGCAGAAGAUUUAGAAGAGCAAGUGAAUUCUGUUUUUAUCAUCUUUGGGAUGUGUACUCAACAGCUACCAAACAAAAAGCGGUGAAGCCGUGCUGCUAUGAAUUAAAAAAUUUAGCUCUACUACUCUAUUAAGAAAAGCGUGGAAGAUUUUUUUGUAGAGGACAAAUGUAACACAGAGAAUUCAAUCUUAAGUGUGGCUGCAAUACCAGGCAAAAUUUUAAACAUUUGUAUUUAUAUUCUGAGUACUUUCAAAGUUUUCCAGUAAGAUUAUCCAAAUGACAUUCAUCUAUUCCACUAUUGUUCCUCAUCUACACAUCUCCAUGUAACACCUCUUUAUUUAUUAAAGACUGUAUCAUAAUCUUCCUUUCUACCCAAACUCUAUUGUAUUCUUAGAAUCUUUCAACAUCUACAAAUACACCCACAGAACUUCAACAAUGAACAUUUUCUACUCAACUCUAUUCCUAAGACCUGACCCUUUGUCGUCACCCAGAACAAUCUCCAACUCAACAAACUGUAAACGCCAACAUGGAACUCUCUGACGUGACAUCCUCUUCUACAUCUCCCUGCCUUCAUUUCUACUAUACCCCAUAGAGUGCUUCAGUCCUAGAAUCCCUCAGGUUUUUGACCAGCUCCCUCUCCUAGACUCAUGUCCUUCCCUACUACCUCUGCCACUAAAUAGCAUUAAUUAAUUAACCUCUCCUUACUCAGUUUCCAUAUCUGUAUAAUAAUGUUCUUUAUGCUUAUU